rnacentral:rRNA from 1 species
UACGUAGGUGGCAAGCGUUGUCCGGAUUUAUUGGGUUUAAAGGGUGCGUAGGCGGUCCUAUAAGUCAGUUGUGAAAUACGGCAGCUUAACUGUCGAGGUGCAAUUGAUACUGCAGGACUUGAGUACAGACGAGGUAGGCGGAAUUGACGGUGUAGCGGUGAAAUGCUUAGAUAUCGUCAAGAACACCGAUAGCGAAGGCAGCCCCCUGGGCUAAGACUGACGCUGAGGCACGAAAGCGUGGGGAGCAAACAGG